UGGGGAAUUUUGGACAAUGGGGGCAACCCUGAUCCAGCCAUGCCGCGUGAGUGAAGAAGGCCUUCGGGUUGUAAAGCUCUUUCGGCGGGGACGAAACGGUCCGUGACAACACCACGGACUAAUGACAGUACUCGCAGAAGAAGCACCGGCUAACUACGUGCCAGCAGCCGCGGUAAUACGUAGGGUGCAGGCGUUAAUCGGAAUUACUGGGCGUAAAGCGUGCGCAGGCGGCUCCUUAAGUCAGAUGUGAAAUCCCCGGGCUUAACCUGGGAACUGCGUUUGAAACUGAGGGGCUAGAGUGUGGAAGAGGGGGGUGGAAUUCCAGGUGUAGCAGUGAAAUGCGUAGAUAUCGGGAGGAACACCUGUGGCGAAGGCGGCCACCUGGUUGGAUACUGACGCUGAGACGCGAAAGCGUGGGGAGCAAACAGGAUUAGAUACCCUUGUAGUCCCUGAGCGGGCUGGCAAGGCGCAU
rnacentral:rRNA from 1 species